AACGAACGCUGGCGGCAGGCCUAACACAUGCGAGUCGAGCGGACCCUUCGGGGUUAGCGGCGGACGGGUGAGUAACGCGUGGGAAUAUGCCCUUCUCUACGGAAUAGUCCUGGGAAACUGGGGGUAAUACCGUAUACGCCCUUUGGGGGAAAGAUUUAUCGGGGAAGGAUUAGCCCGCGUUGGAUUAGGUAGUUGGUGGGGUAAUGGCCUACCAAGCCGACGAUCCAUAGCUGGUUUGAGAGGAUGAUCAGCCACACUGGGACUGAGACACGGCCCAGACUCCUACGGGAGGCAGCAGUGGGGAAUCUUAGACAAUGGGGGCAACCCUGAUCUAGCCAUGCCGCGUGAGUGAUGAAGGCCUUAGGGUUGUAAAGCUCUUUCAGCUGGGAAGAUAAUGACGGUACCAGAAGAAGAAGCCCCGGCUAACUCCGUG
rnacentral:rRNA from 1 species